AUGCCGCGUGCAGUGAGAAGGCCCUAUGGAUUGAAAACUGCUUUAUACAGGAAGAAACACCCCGACGUGUCGGGACUUCCCGGGACUGUACGAAUAAGGAUCGGCUAACUCCGUGCCAGCAGCCGCGGUAAUACGGAGGAUCCGGGCGUUAUCCGGAAUCAUUGGGUUUAAAGGGUCCGUAGGCGGCCUUAUAAGUCAGUGGUGAAAUCUCCCAGCUCAACUGGGAAACUGCCAUUGAUACUGUAUGGCUGGAAUUAUUAGGAAGUAACUGAAAUAUGUAGUGUAGCGGAGAAAUGCUUAGAUAUUACAUGGAAUACCGAUUGCAAAGGGAGGUUACUACUAAUAUAUUGACGCUGAUGGACGAAAGCGUGGGUAGGGAACAGGAUUAGAUACCCUGGUAAUGCACGCCGUAAACGAUGGAUACUAGCUGUUCGGACCAAUCUGAUUGGCUAUUCGAAAGGGAUAAGUAUCCCACCUGGGGAGUACGAACGCGAGUUUGAAACUCAAAGGAAUUG
rnacentral:rRNA from 1 species